ACGGGGGGGGCAAGCGUUGUUCGGAAUUACUGGGCGUAAAGGGCUCGUAGGCGGCCAACUAAGUCGGACGUGAAAUCCCCAGGCUCAACCUGGGAACUGCGUCCGAUACUGGAUGGCUUGAAUCCGGGAGAGGGAUGCAGAAUUCCAGGUGUAGCGGUGAAAUGCGUAGAUAUCUGGAGGAAUACCGGUGGCGAAGGCGGCCACCUGGACGGUCACUGACGCUGAGACGCGAAAGCGUGGGUAGCAAACAGGA
rnacentral:rRNA from 1 species